AUUGAACGCUGGCGGCAGGCCUAACACAUGCAAGUCGAGCGGAUGAAGGGAGCUUGCUCCUGGAUUCAGCGGCGGACGGGUGAGUAAUGCCUAGGAAUCUGCCUGGUAGUGGGGGAUAACGUCCGGAAACGGGCGCUAAUACCGCAUACGUCCUGAGGGAGAAAGUGGGGGAUCUUCGGACCUCACGCUAUCAGAUGAGCCUAGGUCGGAUUAGCUAGUUGGUGGGGUAAAGGCCUACCAAGGCGACGAUCCGUAACUGGUCUGAGAGGAUGAUCAGUCACACUGGAACUGAGACACGGUCCAGACUCCUACGGGAGGCAGCAGUGGGGAAUAUUGGACAAUGGGCGAAAGCCUGAUCCAGCCACGCCGCGUGUGUGAAGAAGGUCUUCGGAUUGUAAAGCACUUUAAGUUGGGAGGAAGGGCAGUAAGUUAAUACCUUGCUGUUUUGACGUUACCAACAGAAUAAGCACCGGCUAACUUCGU
rnacentral:rRNA from 1 species